GCUGGGCUGGUGGCGCAUACCUGUAAUCUCAGCAGCUCGGGAGGCUGAGGCAGGAGGAUCAUGAGUUUAAAGCCAGCCUCAGCAAUUUAGUGAGACCCUGUCUCUA
rnacentral:sRNA from 1 species